CCCAUUUCUCUCGCUCUCUCUGAGCUUCUGACAUUUGGGUUGGAAAUAUCGUUCCAAGAUUCAAGGUGAAGCCAUCACCCAUGCUCAUGAAGGAUUGCUAUCUUGUAUCUAUUCUGAGCGAGAUGUCUGUAAACAUGGCGAUGGACAUGUGAGGCAAUUGCUUUGCAUAUGCAAUUCUUGGUUUAACGGCCAUCACCAUUACUUGUCAAAUUGAGUCGGACUGUCAUUGCACUUGCCAUAUAUGCGGGAUAUUUUUAGGGCAACCACCAGAUCAAAUUGUAGGAUCUCUUCUCUUUGAUCAUCAGUUGGUGCAGGAUAUUAUAUUUUUAGGGCAACCACCAGAUCAACCUGUAGGAUCUCUUCUUCUCUUUGGUCAUCAGUUGGUUAAUCUUCCGUCAACAUGGGUAAACCCAGCAAAAGAUCAGAGGUUGUUGCAUCUGUUUCACAUGCCUUUGUUAAUUCAGGACAAGGUAACAACAAGAAGGAUCCUAAGAGCUCUUGCUUUGGAUGGACAAGAAGUCAACGGUACCUCAUUGACAAUUAAGGAUAUAAAAUUACAUUUGACGAUAUUUAAACUGAAUGGCGAGAGCAACAGAGUCGAGUUUUGGACUUCUACUCUUUUCCAUAAAACUAUUACCUCAGAUACAUUUUCACAAGACAGUUACGCAUUUACAUUUGAUGUUCUAAGAAAUUGCUGUAUCAUUUGACCACCUAACUGUCGUGCACUUCAAAAUACGAGCAUCUACCAAUCUCGUUCACAUUCUUGCUUAUUUUAUCCCAAAGUCGAAAUUAGUUGUUAUUGCAU